CUGGAUGCUGACGAGCGGCGGACGGGUGAGUAAUGCAUAGGAAUCUGCCCGAUAGUGGGGGAUAACCUGGGGAAACCCAGGCUAAUACCGCAUACGUCCUACGGGAGAAAGGGGGCUCCGGCUCCCGCUAUGGGAUGAGCCUAUGUCGGAUUAGCUAGUUGGUGAGGUAACGGCUCACCAAGGCCACGAUCCGUAGCUGGUCUGAGAGGAUGAUCAGCCACAUCGGGACUGAGACACGGCCCGAACUCCUACGGGAGGCAGCAGUGGGGAAUAUUGGACAAUGGGGGAAACCCUGAUCCAGCCAUGCCGCGUGUGUGAAGAAGGCCCUCGGGUUGUAAAGCACUUUCAGCGAGGAAGAACGCCUGGCGGUUAAUACCCGCUAGGAAAGACAUCACUCGCAGAAGAAGCACCGGCUAACUCCGUGCCAGCAGCCGCGGUAAUACGGAGGGUGCAAGCGUUAAUCGGAAUUACUGGGCGUAAAGCGCGCGUAGGUGGCUUGAUA
rnacentral:rRNA from 1 species